AGUGAACGCUGGCGGUAGGCCUAACACAUGCAAGUCGAACGGCAGCACAGUAAGAGCUUGCUCUUACGGGUGGCGAGUGGCGGACGGGUGAGGAAUACAUCGGAAUCUACUUUUUCGUGGGGGAUAACGUAGGGAAACUUACGCUAAUACCGCAUAUGACCUACGGGUGAAAGCAGGGGAUCUUCGGACCUUGCGCGAUUGAAUGAGCCGAUGUCGGAUUAGCUAGUUGGCGGGGUAAAGGCCCACCAAGGCGACGAUCCGUAGCUGGUCUGAGAGGAUGAUCAGCCACACUGGAACUGAGACACGGUCCAGACUCCUACGGGAGGCAGCAGUGGGGAAUAUUGGACAAUGGGCGCAAGCCUGAUCCAGCCAUACCGCGUGGGUGAAGAAGGCCUUCGGGUUGUAAAGCCCUUUUGUUGGGAAAGAAAAGCAGCGGGUUAAUACCCCGCUGUUCUGACGGUACCCAAAGAAUAAGCACCGGCUAACUUCGUG
rnacentral:rRNA from 1 species